UAACUGCGAGUGAAGCGGGAAAAGCUCAAAUUUAAAAUCUGGCGGUCCUUGGCUGUCCGAGUUGUAAUUUAGAGAAGCGUCUUCCGCGCCGGACCGUGCACAAGUCUCCUGGAAUGGAGCGUCGUAGAGGGUGAGAAUCCCGUCUUUGGCAUGGAUGCCCGGUGCUUCUGUGAUGCGCUCUCAAAGAGUCGAGUUGUUUGGGAAUGCAGCUCAAAAUGGGUGGUGAACUCCAUCUAAAGCUAAAUAUUGGCGAGAGACCGAUAGCGAACAAGUACCGUGAGGGAAAGAUGAAAAGCACUUUGGAAAGAGAGUGAAACAGUACGUGAAAUUGUUGAAAGGGAAACGCUUGAAGUCAGUCGCGUCGUCCGAGACUCASCCUUGCCUCGGCUUGGUGUACUUCUCGGCUCGACGGGUCAGCGUCAAUUUUGCACCUCGGAUAAUGGCAAGGGAAAGGUGGCACCUUUGCGGGUGUGUUAUAGUCUCGUSUCGCRUGCGAGGGGWGAGAUUGAGGAACUCAGCGYGCGCCUUUGGUGUCGGGGCUUCGGCCUACGUAACGCGCUUAGGAUGCUGGCGYAAUGGCUUUAAACGACCCGUCUUGAAACACGGACCAAGGAGUCCAACAUGCCCGCGAGUGUUCGGGUGGAAAACCCGUGCGCGUAAUAAAAGUGAAAGUUGGGACCUCUGUCGUGGAGGGCACCGACGCCCGGACCAGACCUUCUGUGACGGAUCUGCGGUAGAGCGUGUAUGUUGGGACCCNAAAGAUGGUGAACUAUGCCUGAAUAGGGUGAA
rnacentral:rRNA from 1 species